UACGGGUGGCGCUAGUGUUAUUCCUAUUGAUUGGGCGUAAAGGGUGCGUAGGCUGUAUGGUAGUUGAAGAAAAAAAACUAUGCUAAUCAAUUGAUCUUCUUUAAUACUCCCAUACUUGAGUAAUAGUAAAGAUCGUGGAACUUUCUGCAUCAGAGUUGAAAUGCGUGUACACAGAAGGAACCCCGAAGGCGAAAGCAACUAUCUAACUAUUUCUGACGCUGAGGCACGAAGGCAUGGUAGCAAAUAGG
rnacentral:rRNA from 1 species